GACGAACGCUGGCGGCGUGCUUAGCACAUGCAAGUCGAACGGAAAGGCCCUGCUUUUGUGGGGUGCUCGAGUGGCGAACGGGUGAGUAACACGUGAGUAACCUGCCCUGGACUUUGGGAUAACUUCAGGAAACUGGUGCUAAUACCUACUAGGAGCUCCUGCUGCAGGGGGGGGGUUGGAAAGUUUAGGCUGUUGUGGAUGGACUCGCGGCUUAUCAGCUUGUUGGUGGGGUAGUGGCUUACCAAGGCUUUGAAGGGUAGCCGGCAUGGGAGGGUGACCGGCCACAUGGGGACUGAGAUACGGAGCAGACUCGUACGGGAGGCAGCAGUGGGGAAUCUUGCACAAUGGGGGGAAGCGUGAUGAAGAAGUGCCGCGUGCGGGAUGACGGCCUUCGGGUUGUAAACCGCUUUAGCUUGUGACGAAGCGUGAGUGACGUUAACGGGUAAAGAAGCACCGGCUAACUACGUG
rnacentral:rRNA from 1 species